AUGUGGCAGACUCAAUGUAUUAAAUUUAAGAUUUAAAUAUGAAAUUUUCUUUUAGAA
rnacentral:tRNA from 1 species